rnacentral:rRNA from 1 species
UACGUAGGGUGCAAGCGUUAAUCGGAAUUACUGGGCGUAAAGCGUGCGCAGGCGGUUUGGUAAGACAGAUGUGAAAUCCCCGGGCUCAACCUGGGAAUUGCAUUUGUGACUGCCCGACUAGAGUGUGUCAGAGGGGGGUAGAAUUCCACGUGUAGCAGUGAAAUGCGUAGAGAUGUGGAGGAAUACCGAUGGCGAAGGCAGCCCCCUGGGAUAACACUGACGCUCAUGCGACGAAAGCGUGGGGAGCAAACAGG